UACGGAGGGUGCAAGCGUUAUCCGGAUUCACUGGGUUUAAAGGGUGUGUAGGCGGGCGUUUAAGUCAGUGGUGAAAUCUCCAGGCUCAACCUGGAAACUGCCAUUGAUACUAUUCGUCUUGAAUAUCGUUGAGGUAGGCGGAAUAUAUCAUGUAGCGGUGAAAUGCUUAGAUAUGAUAUAGAACACCGAUUGCGAAGGCAGCUUGCUAAGCGAUGAUUGACGCUGAGGCACGAAAGCGUGGGGAUCAAACAGG
rnacentral:rRNA from 1 species